AUUGAACGCUGGCGGCAUGCCUUACACAUGCAAGUCGAACGGCAGCAUAGGAGCUUGCUCCUGACGGCGAGUGGCGAACGGGUGAGUAAUAUAUCGGAACGUGCCCUAGAGUGGGGGAUAACUAGUCGAAAGACUAGCUAAUACCGCAUACGAUCUACGGAUGAAAGUGGGGGAUCGCAAGACCUCAUGCUCCUGGAGCGGCCGAUAUCUGAUUAGCUAGUUGGUGGGGUAAAAGCUCACCAAGGCGACGAUCAGUAGCUGGUCUGAGAGGACGACCAGCCACACUGGGACUGGGACACGGCCCAGACUCAUACGGGAGGCAGCAGUGGGGAAUUUUGGACAAUGGGGGCAACCCUGAUCCAGCCAUGCCGCGUGAGUGAAGAAGGCCUUCGGGUUGUAAAGCUCUUUCGGCUGAAAAGAAAUCGCACAGGCUAAUACCUUGUGUGGAUGACGGUAUCAGCAUAAGAAGCACCGGCUAACUACGUGCCAGCCGCCGCAGUAA
rnacentral:rRNA from 1 species